GAUCUGUUAUAGAUCUGUCGGUCUGCCUGCUGUCCUGCUGCAAAUAUGCAUUCGAACAUGACGUGAAAUAUCCGUAGUCGAACUAUAAAUAAACUAUUCGGUUUUUAGUGCCAAGUGUAGCGCA